AUGAACGCUGGCGGCGUGCCUAAUACAUGCAAGUCGCGCGAACGGACGAGAAGCUUGCUUUUCUGAUGUUAGCGGCGGACGGGUGAGUAACACGUGGAUAACCUACCUAUAAGACUGGGAUAACUUCGGGAAACCGGAGCUAAUAUCGGAUAAUAUUUUGAACCGCAUGGUUCAAAAGUGAAAGACGGUCUUGCUGUCACUUAUAGAUGGAUCCGCGCUGCAUUAGCUAGUUGGUAAGGUAACGGCUUACCAAGGCAACGAUGCAUAGCCGACCUGAGAGGGUGAUCGGCCACACUGGAACUGAGACACGGUCCAGACUCCUACGGGAGGCAGCAGUAGGGAAUCUUCCGCAAAGGGCGAAAGCCUGACGGAGCAACGCCGCGUGAGUGAUGAAGGUCUUCGGAUCGUAAAACUCUGUUAUUAGGGAAGAACAUAUGUGUAAGUAACCGUGCACAUCUUGACGGUACCUAAUCAGAAAGCCACGGCUAACUACGUG
rnacentral:rRNA from 1 species